rnacentral:rRNA from 1 species
AUUGAACGCUGGCGGCAUGCUUUACACAUGCCAGUCGAACGGUAACAGGCCUUCGGGUGCUGACGAGUGGCGAACGGGUGAGUAAUGCAUCGGAACGUGCCCAGAGGUGGGGGAUAACGCAGCGAAAGCUGUGCUAAUACCGCAUGUGAUCUGAGGAUGAAAGCGGGGGACCAGGCAGCAAUGUUUGGCCUCGCGCCUUUGGAGCGGCCGAUGUCGGAUUAGGUAGUUGGUGGGGUAAGGGCCUACCAAGCCGACGAUCUGUAGCUGGUCUGAGAGGACGACCAGCCACACUGGGACUGAGACACGGCCCAGACUCCUACGGGAGGCAGCAGUGGGGAAUUUUGGACAAUGGGCGCAAGCCUGAUCCAGCAAUGCCGCGUGCGGGAAGAAGGCCUUCGGGUUGUAAACCGCUUUUGUACGGAACGAAAAGGCUCUGGCUAAUACCUGGGGCUGAUGACGGUACCGUAAGAAUAAGCACCGGCUAACUACGUG